UAUUUGCCAUGAUGACUACUAUUAGGACGGUAUCUGAAGUGGGUAGCUUUGAAUUCUACCUCUUCUGAUUAUACCAAGACUGAAUAUGGUUUCUGAGCAAAUC
rnacentral:snoRNA from 2 species